AGCGAACGCUGGCGGCAGGCCUAACACAUGCAAGUCGAACGAAGUCUUCGGACUUAGUGGCGGACGGGUGAGUAACACGUGGGAACGUGCCUUUAGGUUCGGAAUAACUCAGGGAAACUUGUGCUAAUACCGAAUGUGCCCUUCGGGGGAAAGAUUUAUCGCCUUUAGAGCGGCCCGCGUCUGAUUAGCUAGUUGGUGAGGUAAAGGCUCACCAAGGCUACGAGCAGUAGCUGGUCUGAGAGGAUGACCAGCCACAUUGGGACUGAGACACGGCCCAAACUCCUACGGGAGGCAGCAGUGGGGAAUCUUGCGCAAUGGGCGAAAGCCUGACGCAGCCAUGCCGCGUGGAUGAUGAAGGUCUUAGGAUUGUAAAAUCCUUUCACCGGUGAAGAUAAUGACUGUAGCCGGAGAAGAAGCCCCGGCUAACUUCGUGCCAGCAGCCGCUGUAAUAC
rnacentral:rRNA from 1 species